CAAGUACUCCCUCCGUCCGGAAUUACUUGUCAUCAAAAUGGAUGUGUCUAGAACUAAAAUACAUCUAGACACAUCCAUUUCAAUGACAAGUAUUUUCGGACAGAGGGAGUACAAG
rfam:Triticum aestivum genome assembly, contig: Triticum_aestivum_CS42_TGACv1_scaffold_475478_6AL